CCUCCAUCCACCUCUCCUCCCCCGCCCUCCACCUCUCCCUCCCCCCAGCCCCAGCCCCAGCAAGCACCCGCUAGCCACCUUCAGCUGGGGCUCGGGAGAGCAAUCCUGCUACCCUCCCGGGGCAGCCUAAACCAUGGAAGCCUUCGCAGGUUGCUGAUCAUCGUCAGGCGGCUGCUGCAGCGACUGCAGAGGCGCUGCGCCAAGCUGCGCCGGAGUCGUGCGAGCCGGCGGGACUGCGGAGGGCGAGUGGACCCAGCAAUCCUGGUGGACGUGUAAAUUUUGUAUCUCAGAAUUCGAACCUGUAAACAUCCCCCUUGUUUGGGGCUAUUAGGGCUGUUGGGAGAAAUCAAUGGCGUGAUCCAGGAAGCCCCGAACCACGUGCCAACUGGGAAGGCGACGGUCCGCGAGCCCAGCGCGGCCUAAUCGGGGGCUCCGACUCCUGCACCAGGAGCCCUUCGACCUGCAGCCCCUGCCAGAGAGGGAGGACUGGAUGUGGGAGGCAGGAUCUGAGGGGCAGGAACUUGGGGAGAAGCAGGCUUUGCUGGUAGAGUAGAAGAUCCUUUUGCUGCACUGGUGGACAG
ensembl:lncRNA